rnacentral:rRNA from 1 species
GCAGUCGAGCGGAGAGAGGUAGCUUGCUACUGAUCUUAGCGGCGGACGGGUGAGUAAUGCUUAGGAAUCUGCCUAUUAGUGGGGGACAACAUUUCGAAAGGAAUGCUAAUACCGCAUACGUCCUACGGGAGAAAGCAGGGGAUCUUCGGACCUUGCGCUAAUAGAUGAGCCUAAGUCGGAUUAGCUAGUUGGUGGGGUAAAGGCCUACCAAGGCGACGAUCUGUAGCGGGUCUGAGAGGAUGAUCCGCCACACUGGGACUGAGACACGGCCCAACUCYCCUACGGGAGGCAGCAGUGGGGAAUAUUGGACAAUGGGCGCAAGCCUGAUCCAGCCAUGCCGCGUGUGUGAAGAAGGCCUUAUGGUUGUAAAGCACUUUAAGCGAGGAGGAGGCUACUUUGGUUAAUACCUAGAGAUAGUGGACGUUACUCGCAGAAUAAGCACCGGCUAACUCUGUGCCAGCAGCCGCGGUAAUACAGAGGGUGCAAGCGUUAAUCGGAUUUACUGGGCGUAAAGCGCGCGUAGGCGGCUAAUUAAGUCAAAUGUGAAAUCCCCGAGCUUAACUUGGGAAUUGCAUUCGAUACUGGUUAGCUAGAGUGUGGGAGAGGAUGGUAGAAUUCCAGGUGUAGCGGUGAAAUGCGUAGAGAUCUGGAGGAAUACCGAUGGCGAAGGCAGCCAUCUGGCCUAACACUGACGCUGAGGUGCGAAAGCAUGGGGAGCAAACAGGAUUAGAUACCCUGGUAGUCCAUGCCGUAAACGAUGUCUACUAGCCGUUGGGGCCUUUGAGGCUUUAGUGGCGCAGCUAACGCGAUAAGUAGACCGCCUGGGGAGUACGGUCGCAAGACUAAAACUCAAAUGAAUUGACGGGGGCCCGCACAAGCGGUGGAGCAUGUGGUUUAAUUCGAUGCAACGCGAAGAACCUUACCUGGCCUUGACAUAGUAAGAACUUCCAGAG